GGGAUUUCGCAAGGGCGAAACCUGACCCACCAUGCCGCGUGAGGGAAGAAGCUCUCGGGUUUUAAAACUGCUUUUUGCCGGGGAAAAAAACAUUGCUACUACUAGAGAAAACGACCGCACCUGACUAAUAAGCACCGGCUAACUUCAUGCCGACGACCCCAGUGUUAUGGGGGAUUCUUGCGUUGUCCGGAUUUAUUGGGGUUAAAUGGUGCCUGCGUGGCUUGAUAGGUCCUUAACCAAGGGAAGGGCCUGAACCCCUUGCAGGUACCUGGAUACUGGGGGGCACGAAAGUCCCUGAGGACCGUGGAACUGCUGAUAUAUCGGGAAAAACAUUAGAUGCCAUCGCGAUCUCCUGUAGUGCAAGUGACCCUCUAGGAUAAAACCUGACGACUAACGAACGAAAUUAUGUGCCCCAAUACAUCCUUACCUACCACGAUGGACACCACUUGUGGCUAGUUAUCAAUCCCUGUCGUGGCAAUNAUNAACACCUUCUUUANCCCGGCUGGUGAAGUCCCCACCCGGGGAGUAAACCCACAAACAUGAACGCGCAUUAGGAUUACGGG
rnacentral:rRNA from 1 species